rnacentral:rRNA from 1 species
UACGGGGGGGGCGAGCGUUGUUCGGAAUUACUGGGCGUAAAGGGUGCGUAGGCGGUUCGCUAAGUUGGAUGUGAAAACUCUGGGCUUAACCCAGAGCCUGCAUCCAAUACUGACGAGCUAGAGUUCUGGAGGGGGUAGCGGAAUUCCUGGUGUAGCGGUGAAAUGCGUAGAUAUCAGGAGGAACACCGGUGGCGAAGGCGGCUACCUGGACAGAGUCUGACGCUGAGGCACGAAAGCUAGGGGAGCAAACAGG